UCCCUGAUAGUCCAGUGGUUAGGACUCUGCACUUUUACUGCCGAGGGUCUAGGUUGGAUGCCUGGUCGGGGAA